rnacentral:rRNA from 1 species
UAGGGAAUCUUCGGCAAUGGACGGAAGUCUGACCGAGCAACGCCGCGUGAGUGAAGAAGGUUUUCGGAUCGUAAAGCUCUGUUGUAAGAGAAGAACGAGUGUGAGAGUGGAAAGUUCACACUGUGACGGUAUCUUACCAGAAAGGGACGGCUAACUACGUGCCAGCAGCCGCGGUAAUACGUAGGUCCCGAGCGUUGUCCGGAUUUAUUGGGCGUAAAGCGAGCGCAGGCGGUUAGAUAAGUCUGAAGUUAAAGGCUGUGGCUUAACCAUAGUACGCUUUGGAAACUGUUUAACUUGAGUGCAAGAGGGGAGAGUGGAAUUCCAUGUGUAGCGGUGAAAUGCGUAGAUAUAUGGAGGAACACCGGUGGCGAAAGCGGCUCUCUGGCUUGUAACUGACGCUGAGGCUCGAAAGCGUGGGGAGCAAACAGGAUUAGAUACCCUGGUAGUCCACGCCGUANACGAUGAGUGCUAGGUGUUAGACCCUUUCCGGGGUUUAGUGCCGCAGCUAACGCAUUAAGCACUCCGCCUGGGGAGUACGACCGCAAGGUUG